GUGAGGAAUUUUCCGCAAUGGGCGAAAGCCUGACGGAGCAAUGCCGCGUGAAGGAUGAAGGCCUAUGGGUUGUAAACUUCUUUUCUCAGAAAAGAAUUAUGACGGUAUCUGAGGAAUAAGCAUCGGCUAACUCUGUGCCAGCAGCCGCGGUAAGACAGAGGAUGCAAGCGUUAUCCGGAAUGAUUGGGCGUAAAGCGUCUGUAGGUUGUUUAAAAAGUAUUCUGUCAAAGAUUAGGGCUUAACCCUAGAUAGGCAGAAUAAACUUUUAAGCUAGAGUUUGCUAGAGUCAGAGGGAAUUCCCGGUGGAGCGGUGAAAUGCGUAGAUAUCGGGAGGAACACCAAAGGCGAGGGCACUCUGCUGGGCCAAUACUAACACUGAGAGAUGAAAGCGAGGGGAGCAAAUGGGAUUAGAUACCCGAGUAGUCC
rnacentral:rRNA from 1 species